CGGAGGUCCCAAGCGUUGUUCGGAUUCACUGGGCGUAAAGGGUGCGUAGGUGGUGAGGUAAGUCGGAUGUGAAAGCUCGGAGCUCAACUCCGAAAUGGCAUUGGAAACUACCUUGCUCGAGGGUUGGAGGGGGGACUGGAAUGCUUGGUGUAGCAGUGAAAUGCGUAGAUAUCAAGCGGAACACCAGUGGCGAAGGCGAGUCCCUGGACAACUCCUGACACUGAGGCACGAAAGCUAGGGGAGCAAACAGGAUUAGAUACCCUGGUAGUCCUAGCCGUAAACGGUGCACGUUUGCUGUAAAAGGAAUCGACCCCUUUUGUGGCGUAGCCAACGCGUUAAACGUGCCGCCUGGGAAGUACGGUCGCAAGAUUA
rnacentral:rRNA from 1 species